rnacentral:rRNA from 1 species
GACGAACGCUGGCGGCGCGCUUAACACAUGCAAGUCGAACGGAAAGGCCUGCUUUCCCUUGUGGAUUGCGGGUACUCGAGUGGCGAACGGGUGAGUAACACGUGAGUGAUCUGCCCCCAACUUGGGUAUAAGCCUGGGAAACUGGGUCUAAUUCCCGAUAGGACUGCAGGGUGGUGCCUGUGGUGGAAAACGAUUUUCUAGUGGUUGGGGAUGAGCUCGCGGCCUAUCAGCUUGUUGGUGGGGUAAUGGCCUACCAAGGCGGCGACGGGUAGCCGGCCUGAGAGGGUGGACGGCCACAUUGGGACUGAGAUACGGCCCAGACUCCUACGGGAGGCAGCAGUGGGGAAUAUUGCACAAUGGGCGGAAGCCUGAUGCAGCGACGCCGCGUGGGAGAUGACGGCCUUCGGGUUGUAAACUCCUUUCGACCGCGAGGAAGCCACCUGGUUGGAAGGGUGGUGACGGUAGUGGUAGAAGAAGCACCGGCUAACUACGUG